GGCGGUUGUAGCCAAGUGGAUCAAGGCAGU
rnacentral:tRNA from 1 species